rnacentral:rRNA from 1 species
UACGUAGGGUGCGAGCGUUGUCCGGAAUUAUUGGGCGUAAAGAGCUCGUAGGCGGUGUGUCACGUCGGCCGUGAAAACCUGGGGCUUAACUCUGGGCGUGCGGUCGAUACGGGCAUCACUAGAGUUCGGCAGGGGAGACUGGAAUUCCUGGUGUAGCGGUGAAAUGCGUAGAGAUCGGGAGGAACACCAGAGGCGAAGGCGGCGACCUGGAGAGUGACUGACACUCAACUGCGAAAGCGUGGGGAGCAAACAGG